GCAUCGAUGAAGAACGCAGCGAAAUGCGAUAAGUAGUGUGAAUUGCAGAAUUCAGUGAAUCAUCGAAUCUUUGAACGCACAUUGCGCCCAUUGGUAUUCCAAUGGGCAUGCCUGUUCGAGCGUCAUUUGUACCCUCAAGCCUUGCUUGGUGUUGGGUGUUUGUCCCCUGGGACUCGCCUUAAAAUAAUUGGCAGCCGGCAUAUUGGUUCGGAGCGCAGCACAAAUUGCGGUCUUUCCAUGAAUGUCAGCGUCCAUGAAGCUCAUUUUUCACUUUUGACCUCGGAUCAGGUAGGGAUACCCGCUGAACUUAAGCAUAUCAAUAAGCGGAGGA
rnacentral:misc_RNA from 1 species